GAUGAACGCUGGCGGCGUGCCUAAUACAUGCAAGUCGAGCGAACAGACGAGGAGCUUGCUCCUCUGACGUUAGCGGCGGACGGGUGAGUAACACGUGGAUAACCUACCUAUAAGACUGGGAUAACUUCGGGAAACCGGAGCUAAUACCGGAUAAUAUAUUGAACCGCAUGGUUCAAUAGUGAAAGACGGUUUUGCUGUCACUUAUAGAUGGAUCCGCGCCGCAUUAGCUAGUUGGUAAGGUAACGGCUUACCAAGGCAACGAUGCGUAGCCGACCUGAGAGGGUGAUCGGCCACACUGGAACUGAGACACGGUCCAGACUCCUACGGGAGGCAGCAGUAGGGAAUCUUCCGCAAUGGGCGAAAGCCUGACGGAGCAACGCCGCGGGAGUGAUGAAGGUCUGCGGAUCGUAAAACUCUGUUAUUAGGGAAGAACAAAUGUGUAAGUAACUAUGCACGUCUUGACGGUACCUAAUCAGAAAGCCACGGCUAACUACGU
rnacentral:rRNA from 1 species